rnacentral:tRNA from 1 species
AAAAUUUUAAGUUAAAAAAACUAUAAGCCUUCAAAGCUUAAAAUGAGAAAGUCUCAAAUUUUA